UCUGAAAUGUUGACCUCGGAUCAGGUAGGAA
rnacentral:rRNA from 3 species